UUUGACCAGUGUACCUAGUCAUCCACUUUCUGUAGAGGGAAGUGGCUUGAGGUAAAGUAUAUAUCAACUCAUUGGUAGUGGUGAAUAGCUUGGUUGAAUUUCUUAGGGUCCUGGAAAAAUAAAGCCUGAAAAAAUCAGGGACCAAGUGGUAUGGGGAAGAAGCAUAUGGAUUUGCACUAACCAUGUCUCAUUAUUCUGUAUUUUUGAUGUUUUGACAUCUUGGUCUGACCCUAGGAUGACUACCCCUCCUAGGGCUAGCUAUUUCCUGGAGAUAGCAAACAACUCACCUGCAACUGCACCUUUAAUGUAUAAACCAACCACCUCCUCUAUCAGGCUCUGACAUUCUGGGCCACUGUGCCUCUGCCCUAAUCACUCCAGAGCCAGGUACAAGACUACUAGAGAUAGUCCCUAAACUCCAGAGUCUGCUGUAAUUAUUCAAACUAGCCAGUCCCAAACAUCCUUAUCCUGUCUUAGUUACUCUUCCCCACAGAAACCACAAUAAAAUAUCUUGCCAUUUUCCCCCUCUCCCUCUGCCUCCUGAUUGACCAUGGUGCUUCCCUGUGUGACUCCCCGUGGUAUGGACUGCAACCUCCUCCUGGGAUCUAAUGACCAGAAGAGUCCUCUAGUGACAAUGUUGAAAUAUGAUGAAUCCUGUAACAUGAUAAUAGAAGAAUUUAUUUACCAGAAUGCCUCUGAGGAAGACAUCACCUUUUCUAAUGAGGAACAGUGAUUGUCCAUUCCUCAUAUAUGCCCUGCAUUUUCUCACCUCAAGGAUUUUGAUCAAUGUGAACUCUAUAUGUGGAAUGUCCUUUUCAUCUCUACUUGAUCUUCCAAACGUGUCAUUGAUAACUUGCUAGCUGCUGGUGGAUGACUGACAGUGCUGAUGAUGGUUUGAUCACUUGAUCCAGCUUCAGUCUACUCAUGUGAAAUGUGCCUGUUGUCACAAGAUGAACAUCACCAGAAUUCAUAAAAUGUCAUGGAGAUGGUGGAAGACAAAGUCAUAGAGCUUAAAGUUCGGAGAAGAAAUGUUCUGAAGCCACUACAGCUCUUCAGUUCAGCUGUGUACUACAAAUGCUAACUGUAUAAAAGCUACAUCUUUCAAUAAAUUAAAG
rnacentral:lncRNA from 1 species